GCCGAGGUGGCGAAAUCGGUAGACGCGAUAGACUCAAAAUCUAUUUUCCGCAAGGAAGUGUCGGUUCGAGUCCGACCCCCGGCA
rnacentral:tRNA from 1 species